rnacentral:rRNA from 1 species
AUUGAACGCUGGCGGCAGGCCUAACACAUGCAAGUCGAACGAGUGGCGGACGGGUGAGUAAUGUCUGGGAACCUGCCUGAUGGAGGGGGAUAACUCCUGGAAACGGUAGCUAAUCCCGCAUACCAUCAGAUGUUCCCCGAUGGGUUUAGCUAGUUUGUGGGGUACCGGCUCACCAAGGCGACGAUCCCUAGCUGUUCUGAGAGGAUGACCAGCCACACUGGAACUGAGACACGGGCCAGACUCCGACGUGAGGCAGCAGUGGGGAAUAUUGCACAAUGGGCGCAAGCCUGAUGCAGCCAUGCCGCGGGUAUGAAGAAGGCCUUCGGGUUGUAAAGGACUUUCAGCGGGGAGGCGUUACCCGCAGAAGAAGCACCGGCUAACUCCGUGCCAGCAGCCGCGGUAAUUC